rnacentral:lncRNA from 1 species
CCAAAAGUCUAUAAUAUGGGGACACCACUCCCUUGGCUUUGGGACACCACUCCCUUGGCUUUGGAUGAAGAGCAGUCCAGGAACUACAGACUCCCCUGUGUGGUGUAGGGUUGUAUGCAGAAAGGAAGGUGUGGGAAGGAGCAGAGGGGUGAGCAUGGUGGAAUGGAGACAAAGCAAGACAAUUUUAGAGCUACUUCUAGCCCACAUGGGCCUCUUUGAAUAAAUAACAAGGCACAGAUAACUUGGGAUCUGAAUCAUUCUGUGUUCUUAGCGGUUCAGCUUGGAGGAUUUCAUAACAGCCAGAUGAAAGUUUUAACCAACAUUUUUCCAAAGAAAGUAUGACUAGAGAUGAAAUACCACAGCAUCGUGGUGAAGUUUGGAAGUUGGUCCACACAUUUAUCCCUAAGGCAAAUUGAUAGAAAUAUAACCAACAGCUCUGCA